GUUCAUCUGAGUUUUUGUGAGUUAAACGAACAUUAACGCCAUCGUCGUCUGAGACUGGAAACGGAGCUGGUGCAGAAGUUCGGCUGAUUGCGUCAUCGAACAGCGUGAGAGACUGGCUGAGAGCACGAGAGAAAAAAAGAUGUCUGGGAAGAAGGAAAAAAAGAGAGCAGUUUUUACGAGAGAAAGACACGCCAUGAUUGCUGUGUGGGAAAUCAGCAGUUUUUCAACGGAAAACGUGAAAGAAGAUAGUAAUAUACAGUUCAUCUGAGUUUUUGUGAGUUAAACGAACAUUAACGCCAUCGUCGUCUGAGACUGGAAACGGAGCUGG
ensembl:lncRNA